rnacentral:rRNA from 1 species
UAAGGUGACUACUGCGGUGGGGUUCACCUCUUCCCAUUCCGAACAGAGAAGUUAAGCCCACCAGCGCCGAUGGUACUGCAGUCUUUGUGGGAGAGUAGGUCGUCGCCAAAC